UACGUAGGGUGCGAGCGUUAAUCGGAAUUACUGGGCGUAAAGCGUGCGCAGGCGGUUUUGUAAGCCAGAUGUGAAAGCCCCGGGCUCAACCUGGGAAUGGCAUUUGGGACUGCAAGGCUGGAGUUUGGCAGAGGAGACUGGAAUUCCUGGUGUAGCAGUGAAAUGCGUAGAUAUCAGGAGGAAUACCGAUGGCGAAGGCAGGUCUCUGGGCUAUAACUGACGCUCAUGCACGAAAGCGUG
rnacentral:rRNA from 1 species